rnacentral:rRNA from 1 species
GCGAACGCUGGCGGCAGGCUUCACACAUGCAAGUCGAGCGGGCAUCCUUGUGGUGUCAGCGGCAGACGGGUGCGUAACGCGUGGGAACGUGCCCUUCGGUUCGGAAUAACUCAGGGAAACUUGAGCUAAUACCGGAUACGUGCGAGAGCAGAAAGGUUUAUCUGCCGAAGGAUCGGCCCGCGUCUGAUUAGCUAGUUGGUGAGGUUAUGGCUCACCAAGGCGACGAUCAGUAGCUGGUCUGAGAGGAUGAUCAGCCACACUGGGACUGAGACACGGCCCAGACUCCUACGGGAGGCAGCAGUGGGGAAUAUUGGACAAUGGGGGCAACCCUGAUCCAGCCAUGCCGCGUGAGUGAUGACGGCCUUAGGGUUGUAAAGCUCUUUUCUCCGGGACGAUAAUGACGGUACCGGAGGAAUAAGCCCCGGCUAACUUCGUG